UACGAAGGGGGCUAGCGUUGUUCGGAAUCACUGGGCGUAAAGCGCACGUAGGCGGAUCUUUAAGUCAGGGGUGAAAUCCCGAGGCUCAACCUCGAGACGUCGAUGGAAACCAUCUGGCUAGAGUCCGGAAGAGGAGAGUGGAAUUCCUGGUGUAGCGGUGAAAUGCGCAGAUAUCAGGAAGAACACCCGUGGCGAAGGCGGGUCUCUGGGCAGUAACUGACGCUGAGGAGCGAAGGUCAGGGGAGCAAACGGG
rnacentral:rRNA from 1 species